AACAUAUAAAAAAUAAAUAAUAAAAUAAUACUGAGAAAUAUAAGGUUAAUAUCUCACAAUCAAACUCGAUGAGAUCUAAUAUCCUAAAAGCUAUUAAUAAUUACAUCAUUAUUAAUUUUAUCUAAUAUAUCUCUCUUUAAAUGAAUAACUAAAUUGUUAUUCAUCAAUAGAUCACAUAUGUGCUUGGGCAAUUUUUUGUUGAAAAGGUUCAAUGUUAAGAAAGUUUGUUCCACAGUUGGCA
rnacentral:misc_RNA from 1 species